AUUGAACGCUGGCGGCAUGCUUUACACAUGCAAGUCGAACGGUAACAGGCCUUCGGGUGCUGGCGAGUGGCGAACGGGUGAGUAAUGCAUCGGAACGUGCCCAGAGGUGGGGGAUAAAGCAGCGAAAGCUGUGCUAAUACCGCAUGUGAUCUGAGGAUGAAAGCGGGGGACCAGGCAGCAAUGUUUGGCCUCGCGCCUUUGGAGCGGCCGAUGUCAGAUUAGGUAGUUGGUGGGGUAAAGGCCUACCAAGCCGACGAUCUGUAGCUGGUCUGAGAGGACGACCAGCCACACUGGGACUGAGACACGGCCCAGACUCCUACGGGAGGCAGCAGUGGGGAAUUUUGGACAAUGGGCGCAAGCCUGAUCCAGCAAUGCCGCGUGCGGGAAGAAGGCCUUCGGGUUGUAAACCGCUUUUGUACGGAACGAAAAGGCUCUGGCUAAUACCUGGGGCUGAUGACGGUACCGUAAGAAUAAGCACCGGCUAACUACGUG
rnacentral:rRNA from 1 species